GUUUAACUUCCUUGCCCCCCCANCCCGCCUANNNCUNUACGGUGACUGAGACGGCCCAGCUCAAAUUUGAAAUCUGGCCUCGGCCCUAGUUGUAAUUUGCAUAUGAUGCUUUUGGCGCGGCGCCUUCUGAGUUACCUGGAACGGGACUCCAUAAAGGGUGAGAGCCCCGUACGGUUGGACGCCAAGCCUCUGUACUGCUCCUUUUACGACUCACAUACCCUGGGAAUGCUGCUCAAAAUGGGAGGUAAAUGCCUUCUAAAGCUAACUACUGGUCACAGACCGUUAGCGCACAAGUAGAGUGAUCGAAAGAUGAAAAGCACUUUGAAAAGAGGGUUAAAUAUCNCGUNACAUUGCUGAAAUGGAAACGCUCAUGACCNGACGUGUGCCUUGUGAAUCAUCCAGCGUUCUCGCUGGUGCACUUCGCCUGGUACAGGCCAGCAUCGAUUUCUCCAGGGGGAUAAAGGCCUCGGGAACGUAACUCCUCCGGGAGUGUUAUAGGCCGUGGCAUAAUAUCCUUGGGGGGAUCGAGGUCCGCGCUCCGCAAGGAUGCUGGCGUAAUGGUCAUCAGCGACCCGUCUUGAAACACGGACCAAGGAGUCAAGCAUUAUGGCGAGUGUUUGGGUGUCAAACCCGCCCCCGAAAUGAAAGUGAACGCAGGUGAGAACUUUCGCGCAUCAUCGACCGAUCCUGAUGUAUUCCGAUGGAUUUGAGUUAAAACCUUACCGCUUGGACCCCGAAAAGAUGGGGAACUAUGCCCUGGAUAGGUGAAACCUUUUUGACUCUUCCCGUCGCUCCCAACGGGUUU
rnacentral:rRNA from 1 species